ACAUGCCUACAACAUAUCGUUAAUGCAUCGGAUCCCAUUAGAACUCUGCAGUUAAGCACACUCAAGCUAGAUUAGUACUGGGAUGCAUGACCGUUCGAGAAGUCCUAGUAUUUUACAUGCU
rnacentral:rRNA from 1 species